rnacentral:rRNA from 1 species
GUGGGGAAUAUUGGACAAUGGGCGCAAGCCUGAUCCAGCAAUGCCGCGUGGGUGAAGAAGGUCUUCGGAUCGUAAAGCCCUUUCGACAGGGACGAUGAUGACGGUACCUGUAGAAGAAGCCCCGGCUAACUUCGUGCCAGCAGCCGCGGUAAUACGAAGGGGGCUAGCGUUACUCGGAAUUACUGGGCGUAAAGGGCGCGUAGGCGGCUCUGUUAGUCAGGCGUGAAAUUCCUGGGCUUAACCUGGGGACGGCGCUUGAUACUGCAGGGCUUGAGGCCGAGAGAGGGUGGUGGAAUUCCCAGUGUAGAGGUGAAAUUCGUAGAUAUUGGGAAGAACACCGGUGGCGAAGGCGACCACCUGGCUCGGUUCUGACGCUGAGGCGCGACAGCGUGGGGAGCAAACAGGAUUAGAAACCCGUGUAGUCC